ensembl:lncRNA
CUGCCGGAGGUUUCUUCCUGUUAAAGGGGAGUUUUUCCUUCCCACUGUUGCCAAAGUGCUUCCUAUUAAGGGUCAUAUGAUUGUUGACCACAAUCAUAUGAAUGUAUUAUUGUAGGGUCUACCUUACGAUAUAAAGCGCCUUGAGUCAACUGUUGUUGCGGUUUGGUGCUGUAUAAAUGAAAUGGAAUUGAAACUGUUUCUGUUGUUUUUGCCACUGUCGUUAAUGUAUCUAUACUUUAUUAAUCCCAGUGGGGAAAUUAUUCCUCUGCAUUUAACCCAUUCACUCAGUGAAGCAGCCCGGGAGCAGUGUGGUAGUGGGCGAUCAUUGGUUAAUUGUACCGUAUCAACGGUACCUUGCUCAGGGGUACCUCAGGGUAGCCUUUUGGUGGAUUUGAACCCCCGACCUUAUGAACACUACCUACUGAUCUAUGUCCCCGCUGUUAUUGGUAGUACUGCUGUUAUUUUUCUUACAGUUGCUAAUAUUUUUUUAUAUUUAUUACAAUUGUUAUUAAUAUUACUGUUUUUAUUACUAAAAUAAUGGAAAUAAUAAUUGUUCCAGCUGUAGCCAUGCUUCUUUUAUAUGUUGAAGAUAACACUUGUGCAUUUUCCAUUACAGCUCCUCUUGCAGCCUCCUCUCCACUCAUGAUGCAUUUUUUGAAUCAAGACAUCUUUCAGCAUAAAACACAGACUGAUUUUUGGUUCACACGGAAAAGGGCAAAGGGAACAGGGAAGCACAAAACAGGAAAAACAGGAAUUAGAGACAUAAGGAAAUGAGCCUUUGUGGUCGCAAAUUUUGAAGCCAUUCUGAUAACCUUCUCCCACCAACGAUGUGGAGAUCCAAAUCCAAUUAAAAUCAAGACACUCAAAAAGAUGCUCUGUAAAAGAGUAGAAUUCUUGGAACAGAGUUUAAUACACUGAAUCAUAUGAACAGCAGGAAAAAUACAUACAGACAUUUAGCAAGAGAAUUACAUAGCAGAAAGCAAGUAAAGCAAAACCCCGGGGUGUACAGCCUUAAGCACAGACAGCAGAGCAACACAGAGACGGACAGGUAGCAGCAGCAGGAGGAAAAGAGCCCCGGGGGCGUCCUCUGGUCCCCUAAUAUAGGGGCCAGUGUCGCCGCCCCCUGCUGCCUGGUAACUUUCCCACACGCCCAGCACAGCUGCUGGGGUCAGAUAGCGGCCAGAGUUCACACCUGGCGCUGGCUGAGGGCCCGGUCCAAAGUGACACCAAUAGGUUAACCCUUUGCUUUACCCUCUGACAAUAGGUCACAACAUGGUCAAAGGUCACACAUUAGUACAGCAAAUAGCAUAGUUUUUGUGAAUAAUACUUGGCCUAACUACAUCAAAUAUAUGAGUUAAAUGCAUUACAUAAAAAUAAACACUCCAGUGUAGGUUUAUAGUGUGUGUGUGUACAUGACAGUGAUCUCAUUAUGUUGUUUUCAGUAUCUCUGCUACCAUGUAACAUUUAUUGUGUGCGUGUGUGUGUGUGUGUGUGUGUUCAGGAUCUCUGUUACAAUGUUACUGUUUUGGUUGUGCUGCAUGAAAGACGUUGAGUGUGUAUUGGAGGAGGUUAGUUACCAGAGCUGGAGAGUGAGUUAUUCAGGCGAACUCUCAACAGCAUUAACUGCCCUGUUACUGUACCAACUUAAUAAACCUCAAUGAAGCAAAAAUGUCUUGUGCUUAAGACUCUAUAUGAAAGUUAAAAUAUAUAUGUUCAGUGCACAUAGAUAUAUAGUGUAUAUAGUUACAUAGUUAUACAUAUCACACAAAAAUCCACCACAUUCCCCCCUGUGGUACCUAGAGGUACCACCUAAAAAGACCCCAUAACUAAAAAAGAACAAAAAUUGUGAAAACUAAUGCGUGCGCUGUUUUUUUGCUAACAUAUUUUAAAGCAAGCUCUAAAUAGAACAUAAGAAUUUGUAUAAAGAUCCCACACAGUUAUUGCUCAAAUGAAUAAGCCCUUCCUUCCACCAAAAACCUCAUAGUCAUCAACAUAACAUUCUCCCAAUAUUCCAUUUCUCUUAGUCAAUUAAUUUAAGACAAAUUGAUUCAUCUUCAUUUGCAAAUCAUACUACACAGUAUCCUUAACAGAAUACUCAAGAAACUUAAAAAUCAGCCUAAUUACAAGAAAAUGAAAGUAAGGCAUAAAACACAUCAGUAGAGACACAUAAUACAUACAUGGCUUACACAACACCAUAAAUGGCAUUAAAAAUAAUACAAUUAAACAAUUAAUUCCAAGUUUUGGGUUUCAUCUUGGUCAGGUGCAACUUCUAUUUCUGAACAGACUUCUCAGUGUGGGCUUUGAAAUGUCCUUUGGUAGCUUCAAGGUUGACAUUUCUCUGCAGCAGCUUCAACCUUUACUCAACUUGUGUCCCUUUUUCAGUCCAUAUUUCAACUAAUUUAUGAGUCCGAGAAAAGUCUCUUAUGGUACUUCUUGACUGCUGGAUCUUGCAUAGCUUCUAAGAAUACUCGAGACGACUUGGUCCUAUUCUUGAUUAAAGUCAAGGUCGGCGAUGGGUAGUAGUUGAUCUUGCACAUCCAUCAUUCGGAAGCUGGUUUGGGCACUGUAUGGCUCCACUUGGGCUGUAGGCUCUGCAGCAGAUUCAACGGCUGCUGGAUGGGUCAUGGUUCAGCUGUCUGGAGCAGCCUGUUUCACUCCGUUGUCCCCUCACACUCGUAUCGCCAGCACCUGCUCCAGGACCUCUGCAUCUCCGUCUGUUAUCCAGAUGCCAUCUCCACCUGCAGAAAGAUAGCUUUGCAGACUGCAUUAGUUGUGUUCACAGUUACCUCUACAGGCCCUUUAUGAGGACUUAUCUAUGGACCUUUGUGAGUAUGCCAUGCAAUGUUAGUUGUUUUAGUCUUGUUAAUUCCAACUACAUGCACCUUAGUACUAAAGUUUAUAUUUGUACCUAGUUGACCCCUUCCUUAGCAAAUUCCAAUUCAUUGCUUUAUUUUGUUAAGCACUUUGAAAUGUUUGUCCCAAAUGCUGUUAUAAAGAGAAAGCUAUCAAUUUAGGAAGUGCAUAUGUAACCCGGUAGAGAAAACUGCCUUUGUUAUUCUUUCUUGUUUUCGCUUUAUUUGUAUAAAUGUAUUUUCAUUCUUUUAUUUUGAAAAGCAACAUUUAUUUUGAAAAAAGGAAGUGUGAUCCUUCAGCAAACUUUAUUUUUCCUGUUGCCGGAUCACAAGGGAUAAAUGCCUUUUUCAUUGGUUGAAGGUGGUUUUAGCCCCGUCUUCCAAAACACCAGACCAUCAUUUCACAUGAGCUAGGUCUUUUCGCACGUGGAAGUAGAUGAGACAGGCCACGGAUAGCUCGUGCGGAAUUUUCUAUCAUUUUGGCUAGGUUUUUUUCCCUUGUUCGUGUGGAAGGAACUAAGAUUCUGGAUUACGAUGGAUUCUCUCCGGAUGGAGAUGGCGAGCCUGAGCCCGGACUGAACUUUGCAGAGGAACUUACUCUUCUUCCUCGACGGAGACUUCGAAGUGGUAACACACAAACCACAAACGAAAGAGAAAAAGAACUAGACUAAGAAUUUCUGACUUGACAAAUGACCAAAGACAAAAGGACAAUUGAACAUUGAGCUCAGAUGACUAUUUUUGGGGUUAUUUUUGUUUUGCCGGCUUAUUCUUAUUAUUGUUAUUGUUAUUAUUACCAUUACUACUGUCAAUGUGGAAUUUGUGUCUUGCUUAUUUUAUUUUUGUGCAAAAUAAUAACUGUUGCUGCUCAAAUUCCUGUCUCCAGCCAUUUCAUUCCGUAUUCGCCUCGCUUUCUAUUGUAGCCCUGCCGAACCUAGCAACUGGUCUGUAGUUUGGCUGUCCUAAACUAUUUAAAAUGAGUCAGUGGUUACACAUAGUAAAGCUGCCACAAGUUGUUUCAUUUAGCCAUUCAUGUGUCUGUUUUCUUGUGAUCAAGACAUCUAAUCACAGCCAAAGCACUAGUGAGCUUUAGGGCGACUACUAGCUGGGUUAUUGCCUCUUCAUAUUUAUAAGCUGAAUUUGGAUAAACAUUAACUCUGUUACUGGCUGCCAAUUCACAUUCCAUCAUUAACACUGUUAGCCCUCUACUUAGUGUUGCUGGCUAUAUGGCUGAUCAAACUUCCCACACCUCUAUAGCCACAGAAUUGGAAUUUUCAAAGCUAAGUUAGACAAUGCCACAUUGACCACACAGUUCUUCAUGUUGGCAGUAGUUAAACCAUCACUCAAAAAUCAUCACUUGACCCAACUGUCCUAGCCAAUUAUAGGCCUCCAACUUUCCUUUAUGUCAAAAAUCCCCACAAGAGAUGCUGUAAAAUAGCCACAGAGGAAUGCCUUAUUUAAAGAGUUUCAGUCAGGUUUCAGAGCACAUCACAGUAUAGAAACAGCUUUGGUGAAAGUUAAAAUGAUCUUCUUAAGGCCUCUGACAGUGGAUUGAUCUCUAUGUUCGAUACUUGUGAACAUGUUAUUCUAAGAAUCCUCCCACAUACACAAGACUAACCAUUGAGCUUCACAAGGUUCCACCCCAAGAUCUAUUUCUGUUUACAUAACACAUGCCUCCUUCAGGUAACACCACAAAAAACACAACAUACCUCUGCCGUGCUGAUUACACCCUCUCUCUCAUUCAUCCAUGAAGCCAAACAACACACACCUGUCAGUCAACCUAAAGGAAUGCUCUGAAUGGCAUUACCUUGGUCUCCAUUAACACUGUGAGGUUUCUUGGAGUAAUUUUUUAAAUCCCAAUAUGCACUAAUAUGUGCUUUUUCAGGACUGCUUUCUUCAAUUUCUGCAAGAUCUCUAAAGUCCUGUCCCAGAGUGAUGCUGGAAGACAAAUUGAUGCAUUUAUUACUUCUAGGCUGUCCCACUGUAAUUUGUUUUUUAUCAGGAUGUUGUAGACAUUGUAACUCCUUAAAAAGCAUCCAUCUACAUCAAAAUGUUGCAACAUGAAUGCUGAAAGGGACUAGAAUGACAGAGUACAUUUCUCCUAUUGAUUUCUCUUCAUAGGCUCCUUGUUAAAUCUGUUUUUUUAAUUCACCAUCCUGCUCCUAUAGUACUGUCUUUCCCCACUUGACUCUCAAACUUUAAGCUUACUAGAAUAUUUAAAAGUAGAAUGGGAAGCCAGGCCUCCAGUUUUUAGGUCUCUCUUUUGAGUUAUUAUUAGUUAUUAGUUAUUAUCAAUCUCUGGCUCUCCUACACAGCAUGUUUUUAGUCCUGUCUCCUCCUCCUUACUCAGCUGGUCGCAGCAGAUGACCACUCCCCCUGUGCCCAGUUCUACUGGGCAUUUAUUCCUGUUAAAAAGGGAGUUCCUCCUCUCCAAAUUUCUUGCUAAAAGGGGGUCAGAUAAAUAAUUGUGUUUUAAUGUUUUAUUUUUGCAGUUUAUCCUUAGAUAAUAAUGUGCCUUUAGAUGACUGGCAUCAUGAUUUCAUGCCUGUUCAACCUUGAGUUGAAUAAUAUACAGCAUGACAGCCUUUGUUCUUAUAGAAAAAUAGCCAUUGAAAAGCUAAAACAGCUGUAUUAGACUAUUCAUACAAAUUUUCAUGCAUGGGUUGUUUAUAGACAGUAAUCAUAAGAAAUUCUCUAAUUGGAUCUUGUUACACAUUUUGGUGGCAGACAAUUACUUCACACCCCAUUUUCCUUAAUCUGAGUGAUAGUAAAUUGUGGACCGUAAAUAAUACAUGUAACUGGUGUUAUGUUUACAAUAGACCUGGAUGGCCAUGAGGAACAUUGAGACCUCCUGAAAAACAAACAGUUCUAGUUGCAGGGUAAAAGGUCUACUUCAACAGUUCGUAAAUUUGGAUUGUACCUGGUCAAUAGUUGCUUACCUAUAGAGGUUUAAUCAUGCUGACUCAACUCUGCCUCUACCCUAAUCUUCUCAGUUUGCCCCAUACCAAUGAAAUGUUCUCCUCUUUCCUUUUGGUUGCCAAGUGCCCGGUCAGACUGCAUGGCCCUCCUCAGUGCUUCAAACUCUACCUCUGCACACUGUAACUAGAAUAGAACUAGAAUAGAGUCAUUUAGUUCUGCAGUUUUUGCUAGAGUAUGCAUUUGAGUAAUUUAAAUAUGUCAAUCCAUAGACAACUGGACCCUGCCACACACAGGAAAGAUAAUUUAGGCCCCAUUUUUCUAAAUUGAGGUUUGCUCAUUUUUGUAGGGGAUCAGGCUUUAGCCUCUUUCCCUCCAAAAUAUCUGAUAAUUUAGAUUUUCUCCUAAAUUGUUUUUUGUUUUGUUUUUUUUGGUUCAUUCCUUGGGAUAGUUAACAAUUUAGCUCUGCUAAGCUAUAUGUUCCCCCCUUUUCCCAAUGCAGUUAAGAUUAUGACAGAAUCCUUCGCUGCUUUCUCCUCCACACUGCAUUCAUUUCUAUCUUUCUUCUGUUUGAAAGGAACUACAAAUUGCUCACACACUCAAUUAUAGCACUGUGGAUGGUUUAGUGCUGCACGUUUAGAGCUAGCAUCUUACUAUUAGCUUCAACACAUGAAGUGAGGUAGCUGCCACUGGUCUAUAUGUAGCCGCACUGAAAAAGAUAAAAGACAGAUUAUUUGUCAUAUCUGCAUACAGAUUCACACAUAUUUGCACCCACACAGUUACAUACAUGUCAGGAGGAUACCCAAGAGCAGUGUACCAGGGUCAGAAACAGCAGAUGUUUAAAUUUCUCAUUUCAUGUUACCAGGGAUCCGGAGUUUCAUCAUUACCCCAACUUUUAGUAAAUCCCCAUGUGUAUGUUUCAUCCCUUCAAUAAUGCAAUGCUCAUAAGGUGAUUAAUAACUUCUCUAAGUUUACUUAUCUGUCCCCUGCCCUACUGGGGUUCUAAUGCCCUGUGUCUGUUCUAGUGUCAAUGAGAGUCAUGUCUACGCCCCUUAUGUAUUCAAAUUUCCUAACCUUCAAUAAUAUUCUAAUGUAAGAGUGUUAGUAAUGAAUAUAUUUGUAAUAAUUUCCUAUCUAAUGCUUUCAUGUGGCCUAGUUCAUAUUAUAUGUGUUCUUUUUCUACUGGGAGAGUAACACAAGGAGUGGAGCCCAGGGCUUUAAACUUAGUAGUUUGCUGGGAGCAUUACUGAUGCAGCUGCUUCAUGUUGUUCACUGCAGAUAUCAUGGAUAGUUAGUACUCUGGUAUCAGUCACAGUCCAUGUACUGAAGAUUUCUCUUGGCAGUAACUUCCUUGUUGUUACGGUGCUGCCCACAUUCCUCUCAGAGUUCUCCAGGAACAUCCACACAGAGAACAUCCCAGAUGCAGACAAUGUUGGUUCUUAGAGGCCACUCAGCAGAUUGAUGAGUAUGUCAGCUGACUAAAAGUGUGUUUUAAUACACUUUUCCAGCCCUCUGCAGAUACAGUCUUUCAUUGGACUCGAGGAGACUCGGUUUCAUGAAUUGUGGAUCUUCACUUGGACACUCCUCUCUGCAGUUCCUGGGCUUUCACAUGUGCCAACCAUUGGAUGUCGUCAUCCAGCUGACUCCUCCUCUCCACCCUUGUGCAGGCCUCAUUAGUGACGUAGGCCUUCGCAGUGCCAGUGUUGCUCUACUCCACAGGCUCAUGGCCUGGUGUCUUUCACUGGUGAUCUGUGUUUCUCCCCUUCAGUUGGUGAGCUCCUUCAUCUGUAAGGAGUUAUUUCCCUUUUUUUUUUUUUUUUCAUAGCAGGAGAGUCAUUGUUUCGAGUAUGUGCAUACAUCAGUUAGUUAGUAACUGUUUUCAUUUGCUCCACCUUUUUUUCUUUUGCCUGUGAGCUCGACCUCAUGUUACUCUCCAUUAUCUUACUCCUGGUCUUUGACUUCUCCUAUUUAGCUUCCUUUCCUCUGACUCACGUCUUUCUUUGUCCCACCUAUCUAAUCACUCUUCACUCUUCAGCUCCUUUAUCUAACUUCCUACAUCUCAAACUUUCUCGUGUUUACUUCUCCUCUUCUAAGCCAUAAUCACUUUUGUCAUGGUUUUUGUUUUUUGUUUUGUUUUUUUAGUCCAAAGGUUCAACUUUUGAUUUCUCCUUAUUGCAUUUUAGGUUAAUGUGUUUUAUUUCUAAUUACCAGCUUUUGCUGGAACAAAGGCUCUGUCAUCCCCUUCAAACCCUGCUCCUGUGUAUCUCCACCUGCAUGAUGCACACUGCUUAUUCAGGGAGCUUUCUGUUUCCUACUGGCAGCAGAGAUUUAUCUAUAUUUGCUUUUAUUUUAUUUUUCUUGUAAAACUAAAACAAGAUCAUAGGGGCUUUAUUAUCAUAUACAAGAGUUUUUAUGUUUUUCUGCUCAACUUUCCUGUAAGUGACAAGAUGCAGCUGUGGGAUCAACCCUGUCACUAUUCAAAACCCUGAUUCCUGAAACAAUUACCCCCAAAUUUUGUCACAAUACCUAUUAAACUUGACAAAUUAAAAGCAAUAGUAAUUUUGCAUAUGUAAGAAUUACCAUAUUGCAUUUGCUAAACACAGCAUUUUGCAAGUUAUUCCUUAAAUGUAUAAAGUGCAAUUUAUUUCUUUAUUUACUUUCUUGGAUGGUAAAAAUCACUCUGAUGUUUUGGGACUCUUAAAAUUUAAAUACUUCCUGAUUCAAGCCUGACACUCGAGGCCUCAAAGGGUUAAGGCCCUCUUAUGUCACGCACCUCUGACACUCUUCUAAAUGUUAUUUAUCUUAUAGCUAUAGAAGAAGGAUUACACACAGUCUGACCAGCAUCAAGGCGAGUGUUUUAGAUACCAAAGAUCCCUUUAAUAAUCCCUUCCCCCAUACAAUAUCUAAUCAUGCUUUUAUUUUAUUGAUCAGCAUUUCUAAUGAUCCACAGCUGCAGGUUAACCAGCCAUGCAUCCCACAAAUUUAUUUCUGUUGUUUCUUUUCCCAGCCAAAUAUUCUUUUCCUUUAAAUUUACACUUUUUUAAUUUUUCCCUCUACAGUGCUCGAGUGUAAUCACUUUUCAUUCAUACCUACUCUUUCUCUUACUUUACUAUUACACUUAAUGGCAUGAUUUAUUACAUCUUUCUAAUUACUGUCUUGUUAUUGUUACCAUUACACUCUAAUCAGCUGUCAUUGUACUUAGGCUUUUUGUUUACUCACUGAAUUAUACCAUUCUCAAUUCUUUCCACUGCUUCUCUACUGUUAUGUCUUAUGCCCCUCUGUCAUUCAGUUCUGUCUUACUUCCCUUUUCUUAUUUUAAUAGUUUGUUAUAUUUAUUUUAAUUUACCUGAGAACCAGUUUACUGGCCUUAUCAUUUUCCUCCCAGGUGUUUCUUCUAAUAGUUUAUUCUCAAAUUUAGAGCUUCUUUCUUCCUGUUCCUCACUCUGAUGGGCACUAUUCUUUUUUACAUUUUGUUUUUUGUUCAUAGUACUCAGCAUUGGAUCACUUGUUUAAGCAUCUUCACUGAUAUGGGCCUUAAACUUUACAAACAAGUUACAUCUUUUUUCUUUUUUAAGCAAACAAUUUUGCUUCCUGUCUCAGGUGACUCCUCUGAGCUUCACACAAGCUCACCAUAACAAUAACCUCUUUGAGACAUGCAGUUCAGUCUUUUACUCUUCUUCUCACACUCUUGCAUUUGGCUUAGAUCACUUGAAAGCCUGUGCACUGGUCAAGGACACUCUUGGCAGGAUGUCAGGGCCCACCCCACACACUCCACAGUCUGAGCAACUUGAGCCAGCUACACCCUGUGACGUUGUUUACGGGCCGCCUCCUGCAGCAGUGGCUGAGCUGAUGUCAGCUCUCUCAGUACAACACUUUUCCUUUUUUUUCUGCUACUGUCUCCCUCUGCCACACUCAACAGGCGCUAAACUUUACUUGAAAUUGUUAAGUCACAAUCUCUGACUUAUUAAACCACCAUUUCCAACAAAACUCUUCUAUUUCACUUCACUAUUUUCCAUCCAGUGAUUUUAGCUCUUAUGCUCUGGGUUUAAUACAUCAGUUAGUUGCAUUUAAACCUGUCUACCUUCUUUUCUUUUCCCAACUACUUAUUUGUGAUGGCAGCAUUUUAAACAGAUCUCUAGCAGGUGUCUCUUUUUGUUAAUUUGUUCAUAUCUGUCCUCAUGACCACUUCACCCCACAUGUCAGCCUGUUUAUUCUGAACUCCACUAAGCUUCACACAAUUUAUUUCCAACAAUCAUUCAUUUCACAUCAUAUUACUCAGGUGCCUCUUGCACUCUCUGUAAGCUUUUGGGUGAGUUUAUGACCUCUCGGCAGAACUCUCUACAACAGACAAAACUUCAUUAUUUACUAUUCUUUGGUGAGUGAUAACAAACCCUCAAUAUACAUUUCACAUGCAAACUCUGAGACAUUAUUAGAUUCUUCUACAACUCCUGCAUUUUACUGAGAUCGAUUUAUGGAUGCUGUUUUGACUCUCUUAUCUCCGUUGUAGCCCAAACAUGUUCUUUUUAUUUGGUCUCUAUCUCUCAUUCCUUACUAAGAUGUUCAGAUGUUCUUAGAUCAUCACCACUGCCUUCUAUAUUUCUCCAAACACAACACAAACCUCUCUGUUUCAUUUAUUAUUUGUUUGUGUGAUUUAUUUACUUUCCCUCUAAUUAUUUUAGGCCUGGGUUUUAUCCCAGCUAUGUUUUAUUAUUAGAAUUAGUUUAUAGUUCUCAUUCUUACUGUUAUUAGGUUGGAUAUGUUAUAAUUUAGCUCUAGGUUAGGUUAUCCUUUUUUUUUUUUUUAGUCAAGCAGCUCUAUUUCCAAUUUAUUUAACUUUUGGUCAUACUUUUAUUAAGCUAAUAAUCCAAAAAAGUGCCUGCAAUCCCUAUUUACUCAUUAUCCCUAUUUUGGUAAUUAAUAUUUUCUUUUACUCAAAUUUACCCACAAAUUUUCCACCUUACUUCAUGUUGCUGCUUAACAAAUAUUAUUUCUACAGAUCUUUCUGUUUAAAUUCCUUAAACAACAACAUUAUAUUUCAGCAGCAGUGUCUAUUUUCCUCUUUAUAUUCAACAACUCUUAAUUUUUGCAGACUUAUCUCUUUUUACUGCUCUGAUGCUCCUCUCACUCCUCCACAUACCGUAGGGAUGAUUCACAAACUGCCUGCAGACACAGCGCUCUGCAGCACAGAGAGCUCAGGUUUUUUUUAAGUCUCUCAAAUCAGUCCCUCUACAACUUUUUAUUCAUCUGCCUACUAACUUCCCUUUUCCGUAUUUAUUUAUCAAAACCCACCCCUUACGCGUAUUCCUCUUAUUUACAGCAAGAGUUAUUUUAAGCAAUAUUUACAGCAAUACAUGGUUAUACUCUAGACUACUACUUAGCAAUAUUUACAGCAGCGAUUAUACUUAAGGGUUAGUAACAGCUAUUUACAUAUUUACACUUUGGCCGAAGGUGUCGCCUUUCAUACAGCGACGCGCGCAGUUACCCAGCGUGUCCAGACCGGUGGACUCGAAAGCCCUCAGAAUCCCACUGCGAGCCCCAAGCCCCCGCGUUACGUGCUGAGUUCUUAUCUCCAAAAUUCCCCCAAAGCCCGAGCAGUCCUGACUACCUAGCAAUUCACUUGGGUUAACCAGGUUAACCAAUUAAAUGGUUAACCUAGUUAGCCUAUAUCACCUUAUCUACUUAAAUGGAUAACUAGGUUUCCAGCGGUAACCACCUUGGGGGUGCCGACAUAUAUUUCACUUUUCAUCACUUUUAUCACUUUUCAUCACUUUUCAUCACUUCAACUUUUUACUUCUGCGCAACUUACGCCUAUUCUUCAGAUGCACUAAAGAAUAGCGGAAAAAUAAACCCAAACUCCCCCAACACAGCCCUGGAGUCGUACUCCAGCACAGGGCAGAGCAGCCUCUCACACAAAAAACCCCAAAUACGCACACACACACAGCGCUCACUCACACUCCCCGCGGGUCACACAAGUUACAGGAAUAACACACACACAUAUGAUGCAGUAUUAAACUCCACUCCUUCAGCAUCCGCAACAUUAUUUUUACAGUGUAACACUUUAUCACUUAGAAUAACAGCGACCAUUUGAUUAAAGUCCUUUUCAAGGUUAGGUGAAAUCUACUAGGAGCCAAGGUGGAACCCCCCUUCUGCACUCAGACAACACCAACAUUGAGCAGAAAAAAAAACUCUGCUUACCUUAUUGUAGCGGCCGCUUGGUGUUCUCUGAUGUGCAAGGCUUUAACAUUCCCAAGGCUCCCAGCAAUCACCUUAAUUCCUUGUCCCUUCGUACGUCGCCAAUUGUGGUCGCAAAUUUUGAAGCCAUCCUGAUAACCUUCUUCCACCAACGAUGUGGAGAUCCAAAUCCAAUUAAAACCAAGACACUCAAAAAGAUGCUCUGUAAAAGAGUAGAAUUCUUGGAACAGAGUUUAAUACGCUGAAUCAUAUGAACAGCAGGAAAAAUACAUACAGACAUUUAGCAAGAGAAUUACAUAGCAGAAAGCAAGUAAAGCAAAACCCCGGGGUGUACAGCCUUAAGCACAGACAGCAGAGCAACACAGAGACGGACAGGUAGCAGCAGCAGGAGGAAAAGAGCCCCGGGGGCGUCCUCUGGUCCCCUAAUAUAGGGGCCAGUGUCGCCGCCCCCUGCUGCCUGGUAACUUUCCCACACGCCCAGCACAGCUGCUGGGGUCAGAUAGCGGCCAGAGUUCACACCUGGCGCUGGCUGAGGGCCCGGUCCAAAGUGACACCAAUAGGUUAACCCUUUGCUUUACCCUCUGACAAUAGGUCACAACAUGGUCAAAGGUCACACAUUAGUACAGCAAAUAGCAUAGUUUUUGUGAAUAAUACUUGGCCUAACUACAUCAAAUAUAUGAGUUAAAUGCAUUACAUAAAAAUAAACACGCCAGUGUAGGUUUAUAGUGUGUGUGUGUACAUGACAGUGAUCUCAUUAUGUUGUUUUCAGUAUCUCUGCUACCAUGUAACAUUUAUUGUGUGCGUGUGUGUGUGUGUGUGUGUGUGUUCAGGAUCUCUGUUACAAUGUUACUGUUUUGGUUGUGCUGCAUGAAAGACGUUGAGUGUGUAUUGGAGGAGGUUAGUUACCAGAGCUGGAGAGUGAGUUAUUCAGGCGAACUCUCAACAGCAUUAACUGCCCUGUUACUGUACCAACUUAAUAAACCUCAAUGAAGCAAAAAUGUCUUGUGCUUAAGACUCUAUAUGAAAGUUAAAAUAUAUAUGUUCAGUGCACAUAGAUAUAUAGUGUAUAUAGUUACAUAGUUAUACAUAUCACACAAAAAUCCAC